rnacentral:rRNA from 1 species
AGCGAACGCUGGCGGCAGGCCUAACACAUGCAAGUCGAACGAAGUCUUCGGACUUAGUGGCGGACGGGUGAGUAACACGUGGGAACGUGCCUUUAGGUUCGGAAUAACUCAGGGAAACUUGUGCUAAUACCGAAUGUGCCCUUCGGGGGAAAGAUUUAUCGCCUUUAGAGCGGCCCGCGUCCGAAUAGCUAGUUGGUGAGGUAAAGGCUCUCCCAGGCGACGAUCAAUAGCUGGUCUGAGAGGAUGGUUAGUCACAUUGGGAAUGAGACACGGCCCAACCUCCGACGGGAGGCAGCAGUGGGGACACUUGCGCAAUGGGCGAAAGCCUGACGCAGCCAUGCCGCGUGAAUGAUGAAGGUCUUAGGAUUGUAAAAUUCUUUCACCGGGGACGAUAAUGACGGUACCCGGAGAAGAAGCCCCGGCUAACUUCGUGCCAGCCGCCGCCGUAAGAC